rnacentral:rRNA from 1 species
UACGGGGGGGGCAAGCGUUGUUCGGAAUUACUGGGCGUAAAGGGCUCGUAGGCGGCCAACUAAGUCAGACGUGAAAUCCCUCGGCUUAACCGGGGAACUGCGUCUGAUACUGGAUGGCUGGAGUGUGGGAGAGGGAUGCGGAAUUCCAGGUGUAGCGGUGAAAUGCGUAGAUAUCUGGAGGAACACCGGUGGCGAAGGCGGCAUCCUGGACCAUUACUGACACUGAAAAGCGAAAGCCAGGGGAGCAAACGGG